CCCUUAGAUGUUCUGGGCCGCACGCGCGCUACACUGACGAUGGCAACGAGUUUUUCCUUCGCCGAAAGGUGUGGGUAAUCUUUUGAAACAUCGUCGUGCUGGGGAUAGAUCAUUGCAAUUUUUGAUCUUGAACGAGGAAUUCCUAGUAAGCGCGAGUCAUCAGCUCGCGUUGAUUACGUCCCUGCCCUUUGUACACACCGCCCGUCGCUACUACCGAUUGAAUGGUUUAGUGAGGACUCCUGAUUGGCGCCGCCGCCCCGGCAACGGAGCAGCGGACUGCCGAAAAGUUGUACAAACUUGAUCAUUUAGAGGAAGUAAAAGUCGUAACA
rnacentral:rRNA from 1 species